rnacentral:rRNA from 1 species
GACAGAGGGUGCAAACGUUGUUCGGAAUUACUGGGCGUAAAGGGCGCGUAGGCGGUUUGCUAAGUCAGUUGUGAAAUCCCCGGGCUUAACCUGGGAACUGCGCUUGUUACUGGCAGGCUUGAGUGUGGCAGAGGGGGGUGGAAUUCCACGGUGUAGCAGUGAAAUGCGUAGAGAUGUGGAGGAACACCGAUGGCGAAGGGCAGCCCCCUGGGCUAACACUGACGCCUCAUGCACGAAAGCGUGGGGAGCAAACGGG